UUGACCUCGGAUCAGGUAGGGUUACCCGCUGAACUUAAGCAUAUCAAUAAGCGGAGGAAAAGAAACCAACAGGGAUUGCCUCAGUAACGGCGAGUGAAGCGGCAACAGCUCAAAUUUGAAAUCUGGCUGCCUGUGCAGUCCGAGUUGUAAUUUGAAGAGGAUGCUUUUGGCAAGGUGCCUUCCGAGUUCCCUGGAAUGGGACGCCAUAGAGGGUGAGAGCCCCGUAUGGUCGGUCGCCGAGCCUCUGUAAAGCUCCUUCGACGAGUCGAGUAGUUUGGGAAUGCUGCUCAAAAUGGGAGGUAAACCCCUUCUAAAGCUAAAUAUUGGCCAGAGACCGAUAGCGCACAAGUAGAGUGAUCGAAAGAUGAAAAGCACUUUGAAAAGAGAGUUAAACAGCACGUGAAAUUGUUGAAAGGGAAGCGCUUGCGACCAGACUUGUGCCCGUCGAAUCAGCCGUCGCUCGUCGGCGGCGCAUUUCGGCGGGCUCAGGCCAGCAUCAGUUCGCUGCAGGGGGAGAAAGGCGGUAGGAAUGUAGCUCUUCGGAGUGUUAUAGCCUGCCGUAUAAUACCCCUCGGCGGACUGAGGACCGCGCAUCUGCAAGGAUGCUGGCGUA
rnacentral:rRNA from 1 species